UACAGGGGGUGCAAACGUUGCUCGGAAUCAUUGGGCGUAAAGCGCACGUAGGCGGUUCGUUAUGUCGGAUGUGAAAGCCCUUGGCUUAACCGAGGAAGUGCAUCCGAAACUGGCGAGCUAGAGUACGAAAGAGGAUCGCGGAAUUCCGGUGUAGAGGUGAAAUUCGUAGAUAUCGGGAGGAACACCGGUGGCGAAGGCGGCGAUCUGGGUCGAUACUGACGCUGAGGUGCGAAAGCGUGGGGAG
rnacentral:rRNA from 1 species